CAAACAUUAUUUGAUAUCCUUCAGUAGCUAGGUAUACACUUUGACCUAGAAGUGAUGCAAAUAAAAGCCAAGGUGAAGGAUAUCACUACAGAUGUGAUAAAUAACAUGUUUGAUGAGGAUGAGGAAGGGGAUAAAAGUGAAGAGAAUGCUGAUACAAGCAGUGGUGCUGAUAAAGAUGGUGAUGGAGAUGAUGAUGCCUAGUUCUCACUUGAGGAAAUUAUAUGACUGGUAAUUUAUCUCUCGCUCUAGGGAUUUGAUUUGCAAUUCUCAAUAGAAUUAUAAAAUUGUAGCCAUUUUAGAUGUUCAAUAGGUGGGAUUGUAACAUAUGAUGUAGUUACUCUUUUAUAGUAACUUAUUGUAGUAUGCUUGUAGUUGAAGUUACUCAUAGCAGAAGUUUCAAAGAUUUGAGUUUUGGAAGAAAGUAUGUAUUGUAGUAAUUAGAUUGAGUUUUCAAAGAUGAUUAUGUUAACAUUUUGCUCAAACAUUAUGAACAAUUCUCUUGUUAAUGUUUCAGAACUCAAUAAUUUAAAA